rnacentral:rRNA from 1 species
GACGAACGCUGGCGGCGUGCCUAAUACAUGCAAGUAGAACGCAGUUGAGAACGGGUGAGUAACGCGUAGGUAACUACCUCAUAGCGGAGGAUAACUAUCGGAAACGAUAGCUAAUACCGCCUACUAUGAGAUGGACCGGAUUUGUAUUAGCUAGUUGGUGGGGUAAAGGCUCACAAAGGCGACGAUACAUAGCCGAACUGAGAGGGUGAUCCGCAACACUGGGACUGGGACACGGCACAGACGCCUACGGGUGACAGCAGUAAGGAAUCUUCGGUGAUUGACGGAAGUCUGACCGAGCAAGGCCGCGUGAGUGAGGAAGGGCUUCGGAUCGUAGAGCUCUGUUUUUAGAGAAGCGGUAACCAACCAGAAAGGGACGGCUAACUACGUGCCAGCAGCCGCGGUAAUAC